rnacentral:rRNA from 1 species
GUUUGAUCAUGGCUCAGAUUGAACGCUGGCGGCAGGCUUAACACAUGCAAGUCGAGCGGGGGAAGGUAGCUUGCUACUGGACCUAGCGGCGGACGGGUGAGUAAUGCUUAGGAAUCUGCCUAUUAGUGGGGGACAACAUCUCGAAAGGGAUGCUAAUACCGCAUACGUCCUACGGGAGAAAGCAGGGGAUCUUCGGACCUUGCGCUAAUAGAUGAGCCUAAGUCGGAUUAGCUAGUUGGUGGGGUAAAGGCCUACCAAGGCGACGAUCUGUAGCGGGUCUGAGAGGAUGAUCCGCCACACUGGGACUGAGACACGGCCCAGACUCCUACGGGAGGCAGCAGUGGGGAAUAUUGGACAAUGGGGGGAACCCUGAUCCAGCCAUGCCGCGUGUGUGAAGAAGGCCUUAUGGUUGUAAAGCACUUUAAGCGAGGAGGAGGCUACUUUAGUUAAUACCUAGAGAUAGUGGACGUUACUCGCAGAAUAAGCACCGGCUAACUCUGUGCCAGCAGCCGCGGUAAUACAGAGGGUGCGAGCGUUAAUCGGAUUUACUGGGCGUAAAGCGUGCGUAGGCGGCUUAUUAAGUCGGAUGUGAAAUCCCCGAGCUUAACUUGGGAAUUGCAUUCGAUACUGGUGAGCUAGAGUAUGGGAGAGGAUGGUAGAAUUCCAGGUGUAGCGGUGAAAUGCGUAGAGAUCUGGAGGAAUACCGAUGGCGAAGGCAGCCA